rfam:Salmo salar isolate Sally breed double haploid chromosome ssa13, whole genome shotgun sequence.
UCCCGUGUGGCUCAGUUGGUAGAGCAUGGUGUUUGCAAUGCCAGGGUUGUGUGUUCGAUUCCCAUGGGGG